rnacentral:rRNA from 1 species
UAAGACGAAGGUGGCAAGCGUUGCUCGGAAUCACUGGGCAUAAAGCGCGCGUAGGUGGCUUGAUAAGUCGGUGGUGAAAUCCCAUGGCUCAACCAUGGAACUGCCGUCGAUACUGUCAGGCUUGAGGGCGGUAGGGGAGAGUGGAACUCCUGGUGUAGCGGUGAAAUGCGUAGAUAUCAGGAGGAACGCCGGUGGCGAAAGCGACUCUCUGGGCCGUUCCUGACACUAAAGUGCGAAAGCUAGGGGAGCAAACAGGAUUAGAUACCCUGGUAGUCCUAGCUGUAAACGAUGGGCACUAGGUAGAGGUGGUUUCGAAGCCUCCUCUGCCGGAGCUAAUGUAUUAAGUGCCCCGCCUGGGGAGUAUGGUCGCAAGGCUA